rnacentral:rRNA from 1 species
UCCGCAGGCGGAUUUAUAAGUCAGUGGUGAAAGCCCGUUGCUUAACAACGGAACUGCCAUUGAUACUGUAAGUCUUGAAUUCGAUCGAAGUGGGCGGAAUAUGACAUGUAGCGGUGAAAUGCUUAGAUAUGUCAUAGAACACCGAUAGCGAAGGCAGCUCACUAGGUCUGGAUUGACGCUCAGGGACGAAAGCGUGGGGAGCAAACAGGAUUAGAUACCCCUGUA